rnacentral:misc_RNA from 1 species
GAUGAAGAACGUAGCGAAAUGCGAUAAGUAAUGUGAAUUGCAGAAUUCAGUGAAUCAUCGAAUCUUUGAACGCACAUUGCGCCCCCUGGUAUUCCGGGGGGCAUGCCUGUUCGAGCGUCAUUUCACCACUCAAGCCUGGCUUGGUGUUGGGCGACGUCCUCUUUGGGGACGCGCCUCGAAACGCUCGGCGGCGUGGCACCGGCUUUAAGCGUAGCAGAAUCUUUCGCUUUGGAAGUCGGGGCCCCGUCUGCCGGAAGACCUGCUCGCAAGGUUGACCUCGGAUCAGGCAGGGAUACCCGCUGAACUUAAGCAUAUCAAUAAGCGGAGGA